rnacentral:lncRNA from 1 species
UGCCUUGUUCAGUGUGCUUUAGCCUCAAACUCAAGGCAGAGCCGGGCCAUUCCGAUGCCUGGGGCCCCCAAAUUGUAGGACCCCAUUCAGGUGACUCUGAACCUCAGUUUCCUUUUGUUCUUUUUUUUUUCCAAGUAAGAUCUCCUGGCUGCCCUGGAACUCAGAGAUCUACCUGCCUUUGCUUCCCAAAUGCUGGGAUUCAAGGUGCCAACCAGGCCCAGCUGUUUCCUCACCGUUUGAGGGGGUUAAUUGCUUAGAAACCUCUCAAGUGAGAGAGCCCAGGGUCACAGGGAACAGUCUGCCUGGCUCCCAUGCAGAAGUUCCACAGAGGCUCAGCCCUGGUGCUCUGCCAGAGGGAGUCAAUUCUACAAUGUUCCAGGGUACUGCUUCUUCUCCCCAACUUUCCGUGGCUUCCUAGGGCCUCAAAAGACUUCCUCAGGCUGCAUUCAAAAUCCUCUCCAGCCUCAUCUACAUCAACCCAUCUUGCAAGAGAGCUUUCCUCCCCCACCCUACGUGGAGUAUAGAUUCUGUCCCUGAUGUUUCCCCCAAGUUUGGGAGUCCUCCCGGGAAGGACAGGCACACGAUUUGCACUGGCCUCUAGCCCCUGAGCCUCUGGAUCUGGGCUCCAGACAAUAGCAUAGCCAAGGGGGCCCAGAAUUCCACAGUUCACUGUUGGAAGGGGAAAGACAGAGGCCUCCCCUCUCUGCAGAGUGAGGCCCUCCUCUCCUGUGGAAUGCUUGUGCAGGGCCAUGCAUGUCCAGCUUGUUUGAAGAGUAGCCCUGCAGGUCCUGACUGGAGGGCUUCACAGUGAGAGAGCAGGGGACAUGCCAGGUGAGUCCUCACCUUGUCCCCUCCCCUCAGCUGACCAACCUCCUGUAUAGUGUCUGCAAACGUGAGUGGCUUCAGGAGCUCCUACCCCAAGUCAAGGCAAACCCACCGUCCCCAAGACAUUGUCUGGGGCUCUUCAGCACAGCCUGCGAAAGGGCCUGGAACCUGAAGCCAAUCUGAAACACAGGCAAAAGAAAAAAAAUGUAGUCGGAACCAGCAAGCACUUUUCCAGACACAAGAUCUUAAGCGUCAAUCCCGGUGGCCACAGGCAAGCCCAAGGCUAUUGUCCGGAACUGCAGCCAAGAUUCGGAACGACACAAUUCCUCUUCCGAGGAAGAGUGC